GUGGGGAAUAUUGGGCAAUGGGCGAAAGCCUGACCCAGCAACGCCGCGUGAAGGAAGAAGGCUUUCGGGUUGUAAACUUCUUUUGUCAGGGACGAAAAAAAUGACGGUACCUGACGAAUAAGCCACGGCUAACUACGUGCCAGCAGCCGCGGUAAUACGUAGGUGGCAAGCGUUAUCCGGAUUUACUGGGUGUAAAGGGCGUGUAGGCGGGAAAGCAAGUCAGAUGUGAAAACUAUGGGCUCAACCCAUAGCCUGCAUUUGAAACUGUUUUUCUUGAGUACUGGGGAGGCAGAUGGAAUUCCUAGUGUAGCGGUGAAAUGCGUAGAUAUUAGGAGGAACACCAGUGGCGAAGGCGAUCUGCUGGACAGCAACUGACGCUGAGGCGCGAAAGCGUGGGGAGCAAACAGGAUUAGAUACCCGGGUAGUCC
rnacentral:rRNA from 1 species